UACGUAGGGUGCAGGCGUUAAUCGGAAUUACUGGGCGUAAAGCGUGCGCAGGCGGUCUUUUAAGUCAGAUGUGAAAUCCCCGGGCUUAACCUGGGAACUGCGUUUGAAACUGAAAGGCUAGAGUGUGGCAGAGGGGGGUGGAAUUCCAGGUGUAGCGGUGAAAUGCGUAGAUAUCUGGAGGAACAUCGGUGGCGAAGGCGGCAUCCUGGACCGGUAUUGACGCUGAGGCGCGAAAGCCAGGGGAGCAAACGGG
rnacentral:rRNA from 1 species